CUGCACCAGGUGCAGUUUAUCCCGGGAAGCAGCAGGCUGCGCCAAGGCUGGGAUGCAGGCGGGCGAGCUGGGCAGCGCCGGGCGCCUCUCGCAUCCCUGCUGGCUGGAAGUGCCAGCCCCACGGAUCCAGCCCCGGCACAGCCCGCGGGAAGCCCGUAAACACGAGGGCGUUUCCGGCCGCGCGGUGCGGACGGGGCUGCCGGCGGCGGCGAGGAGGACAGCGUUAAGCACGUGUCAGCGCUCGCCCACCCGGCCCUUCGUUAGGCGGAUUAAGCAAGUUGCUUAUUGCCGGUGACAUAAUUUAGAUGAAUGGUGCGGCAAUCCAUCAGGCGGCCCCGCACGAGGCCGGCGAGGAGAGAGAGAGAGGGGGGGGAGAGAGAGGCGCAGGCAAGAAAGAGAGAGAGAGGCGCAGGCGAGAGAGAGAGAGAGGCGCAGGUGAGAGAGAGAGAGAUGCAGGCGAGAAAGAGAGGGGCAGGCGAGAGAGAGACAGAGGUGCAGGGGAGAGAGAGAGAGGCACAGGCGAGAGAGAGAGGGGCAGGCGAGAGGGGGGGCAGGCGAGAGAGAGAGGCGCAGGCGAGAGAGAGAGAUGCAGGCGAGAAAGAGAGGGGCAGGCGAGAGAGAGACAGAGGUGCAGGGGAGAGAGAGAGAGAGGCGCAGGGGAGAGAGAGAGAGGCGCAGGGGAGAGAGAGAGAGAGGCACAGGCGAGAGAGAGAGAGGCGCAGGCGAGAGAGAGAGAGGCGCAGGCGAGAGACAGGCGCAGGCGAGAGAGAGAGAGGCGCAGGACAGAGAGAGAG
rnacentral:lncRNA from 1 species